CCAGUAUUUCUGAACUUGUUGACACCAUCACUGAACAAGCACCAGCCAAGGCAGUGCAGGACAUGGUGAAGUACUUGGUGUAUGAGGACUGGCUCCUGGAGCUUUUUAAAAUCUGCCCCACCUGCUCCAGACUCUGUGAAGCUGACACGUUUGUUAAAGGAACAUUCCUCUCUGUAACCCAGAAGUGCCUCCACACGAGUGUCUCCUCCUCAAGACUCCACAGCCCUGAUAACACCUGCUGAGAGUGAGAGGAGGGGAGAGGACACCAACUAGAGAACCCAGAACUAUGGAAGCCAAGUUAGUAACAUACAUGUGUGGGAAUGGAUUUGUACAGAAAGAGAGGGAAUGGAGGAACGUAUUCAAAGUUUAUUAAAUAAAUGAAAUAACUUUAUAUAAAACACAUGUCCAAACAUAACAAUACAUUAACUUGGAAAUAAUUUAAAUUGGAGGCCUAAAACCGGUGUACUCUUCCUCUUCAUCAGGGUACUCCUGGUGGAUACGGACAACAACGCAGGAAGGUAUCACUACCCGGUUGUGCUUUCCCAGGUAUCCCCAGCACCAGGAAACAAAGGAUGCCAGCACAUCAUGAUCCCUAGAAGAUGAAAGAUGGAUCAACCUGCAGCGUGCCUGAAAUCUAUUUGGCUGUAUGGAUUGGCCUGGACAUCUGUUUUUUUUUCUUUGUUUGCUUUAAGUUACAUUAAUUAUCCACAACCAUACAUUUUUAGUUUUGACGAAUAAUCCAGUUGUUGUGAAGCG